rnacentral:lncRNA from 1 species
AGUGUUAGUUUUUUUUCUUUUGAAAAUUUUAAGUCACGUAUAGUUAAAUUUACUUACAAGUUUAUUUAAGAAAAGAAGUUUGAAAAUACAAUGGCAUAAGGCCAAAGUUUCUAAUUUGCAAUAUGGUCUAAGUUUAGAAAACAAGCACAAGCAAAGAAGAUUUUAAAAAAGGGGGACAGAUUUUGAAAUUAAAGAAGUGGGGAGGAG